AGUGAACGCUGGCGGUAGGCCUAACACAUGCAAGUCGAACGGCAGCACAGUAAGAGCUUGCUCUUACGGGUGGCGAGUGGCGGACGGGUGAGGAAUACAUCGGAAUCUACUUUUUCGUGGGGGAUAACGUAGGGAAACUUACGCUAAUACCGCAUAUGACCUACGGGUGAAAGCAGGGGAUCUUCGGACCUUUCGCGAUUGAAUGAGCCGAUGUCGGAUUAGCUAGUUGGCGGGGUAAAGGCCCACCAAGGCGACGAUCCGUAGCUGGUCUGAGAGGAUGAUCAGCCACACUGGAACUGAGACACGGUCCAGACUCCUACGGGAGGCAGCAGUGGGGAAUAUUGGACAAUGGGCGCAAGCCUGAUCCAGCCAUACCGCGUGGGUGAAGAAGGCCUUCGGGUUGUAAAGCCCUUUUGUUGGGAAAGAAAAGCAGCAGGUUAAUACCCCGCUGUUCUGACGGUACCCAAAGAAUAAGCACCGGCUAACUUCGUG
rnacentral:rRNA from 1 species